UACAGAGGUCUCAAGCGUUGUUCGGAUUCAUUGGGCGUAAAGGGUGCGUAGGUGGCGCGCUAAGUCAGGUGUGAAAUUUCGGAGCUUAACUCCGAAACUGCAUUUGAUACUGGUGUGCUUGAGGACUGGAGAGGAGACUGGAAUUCAUGGUGUAGCAGUGAAAUGCGUAGAGAUCAUGAGGAAGACCAGUGGCGAAGGCGGGUCUCUGGGCCUUACCUGACGCUCGAGGUGCGAAAGCGUGGGGAGCAAACAGG
rnacentral:rRNA from 1 species